rnacentral:rRNA from 1 species
GACGAACGCUGGCGGCGUGCCUAACACAUGCAAGUCGAACGAGGUAUAUUUUUCGGAAUAUACUUAGUGGCGGACGGGUGAGUAACGCGUGAACAAUCUGCCCUGUACAAAGGAAUAGCCUCGGGAAACCGGGAUUAAAACCGUAUAACACUUUAGUAUCGCAUGAUACAGAAGUCAAAUAUUUAUAGGUAUGGGAUGAGUUCGCGUCUGAUUAGCUAGUUGGUAAGGUAAUGGCUUACCAAGGCGACGAUCAGUAGCCGGCCUGAGAGGGUGAACGGCCACACUGGAACUGAGACACGGUCCAG